GGAUAGCUAGAGUCGGAGUUUUCGAUGUUUGUAUUCGUGUUGAAUACAAGUUAGUGGAUUGAAAUUCUCAAGUAGGAGCUUGGAGAGUGGAUGUAGGUGCAAGGUUGGCACCGAACCACUAUAAAUCCUUUUGUUUGUGGUGUGCCUAAUUGCUCUUCUUUAACUCUUCAUUAUUUUCUUGCAUUCUUGCUUUUAGCCAUUAGUCUUGAAUUAAUUUUACUCUCUCUAUUUAUUUAGCUAUUGUCAAAUAUUUUUCAUAAGUCAUAAGUUAAGCUUAAAAUUUUUAGAAACCCAAUUCACCCCCCCUCUUGGGUUGC
rnacentral:lncRNA from 1 species